rnacentral:lncRNA from 1 species
GGAAAACUGCUUGCUCACCGGCGACAAGAUGUUUACUAACCUCUAUGGAUAAUGAAUUUCAGUGGAGCCAGCACGAACAGCUGUGCUGACUCGUCGGGUGUUGGCUUCGUCAUUGUUCAUGAGGUAUGAUGAUAAUUUUUCUUUGAUGUCGAGCUAUAUUUUCUUAUCUUUUAUUAGUUUGUUUGUUUUUAUUUCUAGGUUCAAAAUUUUGCAAAGAAUGAUCCAAAUAUAUUGCGGAAACAUUGAAUGUGUUCUCUUCAAUGUUUUUGGCAUUCAAGGCUCGGGGCAUGGCACGACGCCAAGAAGGAUAAUAGUGACCAUUGAGGAGUACAUCAUCGAAGGAUUGGUUUAGUUGAUCUGAAGAAUGUAGGAAAGAAGGAGAUGCAGCAUCCAUGGAAGGUUUUGUAGCUGGUACAGGUUUUAAUAGAGCUCUCUUUAUCAAUUUCAGCCCUUGACCUUGAUAAAACUUCUUCAUAUUCGACAUACACGUUAUCGUUGUCGACAUUGCAUUGAUAAUGUUUGAGUACUCAUGUCAUCAAUGGGAGCCCCCUUUGGUAAUAUAUGACUCGAGUUAAUUACACUGUUAGACUUGAGUCCACUGCAUGAGAAUAUGUAUGUAGAAAAGGGUGAAUUUUUCAAUGCCACCAUCUCCACCACAAUGGAAGGAGUCGG